UACGAAGGGGGCUAGCGUUGUUCGGAAUCACUGGGCGUAAAGCGCGCGCAGGCGGUUCUCCAAGUCAGUGGUGAAAGCCCGGAGCUCAACUCCGGAAUUGCCAUUGAAACUGUUGAACUUGAGGACGAGAGAGGUGAGUGGAAUUCCCAGUGUAGAGGUGAAAUUCGUAGAUAUUGGGAAGAACACCGGUGGCGAAGGCGGCUCACUGGCUCGUUUCUGACGCUCAGGCGCGACAGCGUGGGGAUCAAACAGG
rnacentral:rRNA from 1 species